rnacentral:rRNA from 1 species
AUUGAACGCUGGCGGCAUGCCUUACACAUGCAAGUCGAACGGCAGCACGGGUGCUUGCACCUGGUGGCGAGUGGCGAACGGGUGAGUAAUACAUCGGAACGUACCUUAUCGCGGGGGAUAACGCAGCGAAAGUUGCGCUAAUACCGCAUACGCCCUGAGGGGGAAAGCGGGGGACCGUAAGGCCUCGCGCGAUUAGAGCGGCCGAUGUCUGAUUAGCUUGUUGGUGAGGUAAAAGCUCACCAAGGCGAUGAUCAGUAGCUGGUCUGAGAGGACGAUCAGCCACACUGGGACUGAGACACGGUCCAGACUCCUACGGGAGGCAGCAGUGGGGAAUUUUGGACAAUGGGGGCAACCCUGAUCCAGCAAUGCCGCGUGAGUGAAGAAGGCCUUCGGGUUGUAAAGCUCUUUUGUCAGGGAAGAAACAGCAGCUCUAACACAGUCUGCGAAUGACGGUACCUGAAGAAUAAGCACCGGCUAACUACGUGCCAGCAGCCGCCGUAAGAC